GGACGAACGCUGGCGGCGUGCUUAACACAUGCAAGUCGAGCGGUAAGGCCCUUUCGGGGGUACACGAGCGGCGAACGGGUGAGUAACACGUGGGUGACCUGCCCUCAGCUCUGGGAUAAGCCUGGGAAACCGGGUCUAAUACUGGAUAUGACUCCAUGACGCAUGUUGUGGGGUGGAAAGCCUUGUGCGGCUGAGGAUGGGCCCGCGGCCUAUCAGCUUGUUGGUGGGGGAUGGCCUACCAAGGCGACGACGGGUAGCCGGGCCUGAGAGGGCACCGGCCACACUGGGACUGAGACACGGCCCAGAC
rnacentral:rRNA from 1 species